UUUAGUUUCACCACCAGGGUCCAAAAAUGAAUCUUGGUGCUAAGGGCUAGAUAGAUUGGCUUCUAGAUCUGCUCAAUACUAUGCAAGGGUAUGUUUUGCAAAAUGGUUUGUUGUUUUGAUUUAUACAUAUCAGCUGUAUCUUUUACUUUAGAAUCUCCGUUUCAAUAAAUUUUCCUUUUAUGGAAGAAAAAAAAUGUUGUACUGACCUUUUCCCUUUGCAUUCUAAUAUUCUAGGAGAAGUGUUUUACGAUACCUUGUGGUCCUUCUGCUCUGGCUAUUAAAGCAGCGGCAUGGUGCUAAUUGCCAUUGACUAAUGAACAAUUGCAAAUAAAACUGAAUAAUUAUUUAUGAUUUCUUGUAAUAAAAUUUUUCGAAUGGUGUAGAGAUACCAUUGUGAUUAUUUAUGAUUUCUUGUGAUUAAAUAAAACUGAACAGAAGUGAAUAAUGAACCUUUGCGUACUAAAAGCUCUACGAGCCUUGAGGUAAAAAAUACUAGGUCUUUCGAUCACUUCAAUUUGCAAACUUAGUUUCAUAUGCUCUUUUUUACUUUAUAUAGGUUGAUGCACAUCCUCAGCAAAUAAAUCUGCAUCUUUCUAUUUUAAUUUUAAAUAGGCAACCAGUUUUGCCAACUGUGAUUAAUUAUUUUGGUAAAAUUUUCUAUUAUUGUUGUUUCCUAAUUAUACUUGUCUUCACACGAGAAUUCUAUUAAAAUAUGUUCUUAUUAUUAUCUAAAAUCUUCUUACUCAUUAGACUAUAGGGAUAGAAUUCAUCGCUAUGCCUUGAAUAAGUGGACUACGUAUAUAGCCAAUUCUUUUUAGAUUGCUCCUCUGAGUAAAAUUCUUGAUUAUUAAGAGCGUUUCUUUCUUGAGACAUUCAAAUUUUUGCUGUAUCCCCUCUCAUUUCGUAUGUGUUAAAUCUAAUCAUCAGUUUAAGCAUUUUCCUAAUCAAUGUUCGCUAAAUGUUCUUCAUUUCUGCUAUAACCUGCUUCAUAAGUUAUCUUUUAUUUUUUCCUCCUUUUUGAAAAGCUACUAUAAUGGGCUUCCUUUGCAUCAUGAUACAAAAAGAGGCCUUGACCAAACUGUAAAGUUGCUUCUUUCACAUGUAAGUGUGUACAAUUUUUGUCUAUUAAAUGUUUUCUCCAUAAUUUAGGUCAUGAUGUUUCAUUGACAAAUAGUAUCUUGUUUUAGCAACGUCAUUCGCACUAUAGAAGUAUUUUUUUUUUCCUCUUACCAUCAUUUUAGCAUAUCAAUUCUGAUAUAUCUAAAUACUUUACAUGUUCAUCAUGCGGGGAGCAAAUACUGACAUUUUCCCAUUAUGCUUAUGAGGGGCACAUGUGUUUAUUCUCUGGUUGGUUGAGAGAGUUUUACGGGCCUAGCUUUCUUAAACUAAUGCACAUCAAAUGCUUUCAAGAAAACUAUGUGAGUAUUAUAUUUACAAUUUACACACAUUCAUUAUAUCCUCCAUAGUGUUGUAACUUGUAUCUUUAGUUGCUCUUUGUAUUAUCUUGUUUACUCAUUUUGUAUCAGUGACUUUUUGAAAGAUUAUUUUACCAUCUAUGCUUACAAGAAGCUCUUGUUAAUACUUGUGCAGUUGGAUGGUUGUGAUCACUUUACCAUGCUUCCUCCUGUUUUUUAAUGUCACGUCUUUUUUUCUGUUAUCGUCUUUUAUCAGUAGGACCAACAAAAGUUUUUUGACACUGCUACAUAUCAGCUUCGUUGCUACAAUAAUAUGGGUUUGCUCUGUUAUGUGUAUGUGGCCAAAAUAGUAGGAUAUUGAUGUAUGUUUUUGUAUUUUGUACAACGUUGUUGAAACUAGCAAUCAAGUGCCUCAAUUAGCUAAAAUUGUACUUCACCAUGUCGUGUGUGUACAUAUGUGUAUCUAAACUCUACAGAGCAUUAUCAUUUUGUCUAUUACGUGUGCUAUUUCUUCAAUUGGUUAGUACAUGACCUGAACUUAUAAUUUCAUAUUUUUAACUUUUGACAGUGAGGUAAAUAUGCUGAUUGUUGUGGCUCGUGUAGAUUAAAUGUUUAUGUGACUUUAAUGAUGCUGAGAAGGGAUUUUUGGCAUUGAAUAAAACAAUAUCUGAGCGUGAAACAUCAAAAAAGAGCUCAAAAAGAUUGUUUGGAAGGCUCUUCUACCUCGCACUUCCUUCGUCAGUUUGCGAGAUUUUCGUACGUAAAAAAAAAAUUGCAACAAUGAAGAACAAUUGGCUCUAUUCCAAUCAGUGCAUGUCAACGUCCUGCUGAAUAUCAGGAGCGUUUGCAUGAAAAGCAAAUAUUAAUAGGCUUUAAUUGUGAGGGGAUGACCUUUGUCACUGUGGGUCUCUAUGCAUCAUGCAGGAUUAUUUAAAUUUCAUUAUCGAGACCACGGUACCAAUUUCUUCAUUUUUGAACAACAUUUUUAUGAAAUCAACUAUCUCAACUUUCUUUGAAGGUUUGAAUUGCUUACAAAUUUUUGCGGACACUUGAGUGUAUCAAUAUGAAAAAUGCAACGCAAUAUUUUGAUACGUUAACAUUAUCUUAAAAAUAACAUAGCUCGUGUAUUGCACGGGCAAUAGACUAGUGUGUGUGUG
rnacentral:lncRNA from 1 species